rnacentral:rRNA from 1 species
UAGGUAAUCUACCCUCUGGUGGGGAAUAACCCGGGGAAACCCGGGCUAAUACCGCAUAUGGCCUUCGAGUCAAAGCCUUCGGGCGCCAGGGGACGAGCCUGCGGCGCAUUACCUAGUUGGUGGGGUAAUGGCCUACCAAGGGGACGAUGCGUAGCUGGUCUGAGAGGAUGAUCAGCCACACUGGGACUGAGACACGGCCCAGACUCCUACGGGAGGCAG